GAGUGGCGAACGGGUGAGUAAUAUAUCGGAACGUGCCCAGUCGUGGGGGAUAACGUAGCGAAAGUUACGCUAAUACCGCAUACGAUCUAAGGAUGAAAGCGGGGGAUCGCAAGACCUCGCGCGACUGGAGCGGCCGAUAUCAGAUUAGGUAGUUGGUAGGGUAAAGGCCUACCAAGCCAACGAUCUGUAGCUGGUCUGAGAGGACGACCAGCCACACUGGAACUGAGACACGGUCCAGACUCCUACGGGAGGCAGCAGUGGGGAAUUUUNGGACAAUGGGCGAAAGCCUGAUCCAGCCAUUCCGCGUGCAGGAUGAAGGCCCUCGGGUUGUAAACUGCUUUUNNNNCAGAACGAAAAGGUUUCUAUUAAU
rnacentral:rRNA from 1 species